GUUUUUCCCCCCUCUUUACUUUCCCUGUUUUGCUUGGUGAUGUUCUAAAAGUUCCUCGGGUCUUUCUACACUAUUUCUCCUCAGAGCAACUCCUGUUAACAUCUCUUUGAAUUACUAAUUCUUUUGUUAAAUUGUGUGUGUGUGUGUGUGUGUGUGUUUGUGUGUGUGUGUGUGUAUGUGUGUGUGUGUGUGUUUGUGUGUGUGUGUGUUUGUGUGUGUGUUUUUGUGUGUGUGUGUGUGUAUGUGUGUGUGUGUGUGUUUGUGUGUGUGUUUUGUGUGUGUGUGUGUAUGUGUGUGUGUGUGAAUGCCAUGUCUGUGCAGGUGCCUGCAGAGGCUAGAAAAGCCCGUGGAGCUAGAGUUACAGAUGGUCCUGAAUAGCAGCCGUGGAAGCUCAGAACCAGACUCUUGUCUUCUGGAAGAACAGCAAGUGUUCUAACUUGUGGGUCAUCCCUCCAGCUCCAGAAUUGUUGAUUCUUUCUUCUUGGUAAAGCCUGCUAUUGAAUCCCUUUCAUGAAAAUUUCAGGUUAGUCUAUGACUUUUGUGUGAAAGGUGGAAAAGAAACGAACAAAAGUCAACUGAGAAUAAGAGAUUUCUGCAAUGCCACAGGAGUGAUUAAGAGGAAAGACCCAGGUCUUCCACUGAACUUUGAAAAUGUAGAGUGAUACACAAAAUCCCAGAGAAGCCAAAAUUACCCUUUAUUAAAAAGUUU
rnacentral:lncRNA from 1 species